GUCUGAGUGGCCCAGUGGUUAAGGCAUCUGCUUUACAACCGUUUCAGCGUCAGUAUCGCAGAGGGUCGCGGGUUCGAAUCCCGUCUCGGAUA